ACUACGGGGAGCAGCAGUGGGGAAUAUUGGACAAUGGGCGAAAGCCUGAUCCAGCCAUGCCGCGUGUGUGAAGAAGGCCUUCGGGUUGUAAAGCACUUUCAGUGGGGAAGAAAGCCUUGGGGCUAAUACCCUCGAGGAAGGACAUCACCCACAGAAGAAGCACCGGCUAACUCCGUGCCAGCAGCCGCGGUAAUACGGAGGGUGCGAGCGUUAAUCGGAAUUACUGGGCGUAAAGCGCGCGUAGGCGGUCUGAUAAGCCGGUUGUGAAAGCCCCGGGCUCAACCUGGGAACGGCAUCCGGAACUGUCAGGCUAGAGUGCAGGAGAGGAAGGUAGAAUUCCCGGUGUAGCGGUGAAAUGCGUAGAGAUCGGGAGGAAUACCAGUGGCGAAGGCGGCCUUCUGGACUGACACUGACGCUGAGGUGCGAAAGCGUGGGUAGCAAACAGGAUUAGAUACCCCUGUAGUC
rnacentral:rRNA from 1 species